AUUGGCUUUAUAAGAAGAGGAAGAGAGACCUGAGCUAGCAUGUGAGCACGCUCAGCCUCCGGCCAUGUGACCAGUAAGAAGGCCCUCACCAGAAGUGGCCCCUUGACCUUGGACUUAUCAGCCUCUGAGCCAGCACAGGUGCAGGAGCCACCAGUGGCCAGGACCAGUCGGGGUUCAUCUGGGACCGAGGUUCGUCAGCACUGGUCUGUCUUCACUGUGUACUCUCUGGAGAACAAAAUCUCAUCAAUCUGAACUCAUGGAGGGGGAGUCAGCACAGCAUUCUGCAUUUAUUUUGAGAAAUGCUUCUGUCUUGAUGGUGUUGACAACGGCAUGCCUGUUGGAAGCAGGGUUUGGGGGCACAGAUGGUGACCAAAGGAGUGAAGAUCAUUUGGGAAGAUUCUCCUCUUUGACAUGUAACAGAGUGGAAGGCACACCUGGACUUUUAUGGGGGGAAAUGAAAGGGAAAUCAUUUCCAGGAAAGAUGGGUCUUUAACCAGCUCCGCCCAGUCCAUCUGGGCUAACUCUUAAACAUGAGCCCUGCACCAUUCAUCCAUGGUUUUGUGAACAUCAUCUGGUUAAGAUACUCAGGUCUGUACUUUAAUAAGCUCGCCAAACCUGACACUGUUUGGGGUCCAGCUGUAUUUUACUGUUUUUGCUUUUAAGAUCAAUGUUCCCAGGUUCAAACCAUGAAAAGUAGAUGGUUCCUUGAAGUCACGAGUCCUAACCUGGUAGAGUUUGGGCCUCAUUUGACCCCACAGAUGUGUUUUGUUUAGCUUUCUUUUCUUUUCUUUUCUUUUUUUCUUUCUCCCUUCUGCUUCCCCUUCUCCUUCCUUCCUUCCUUCUUUCCUUCCUUCCUUCCUU
rnacentral:lncRNA from 1 species